GAUGAAGAACGCAGCGAAAUGCGAUAAGUAGUGUGAAUUGCAGAAUUCAGUGAAUCAUCGAAUCUUUGAACGCACAUUGCGCCCUUUGGUAUUCCAAAGGGCAUGCCUGUUCGAGCGUCAUUUGUACCCUCAAGCUUUGCUUGGUGUUGGGCGUCUUGUCUCUAGCUUUGCUGGAGACUCGCCUUAAAGUAAUUGGCAGCCGGCCUACUGGUUUCGGAGCGCAGCACAAGUCCCACUCUCUAUCAGCAAAGGUCUAGCAUCCAUUAAGCCUUUUUUUCAACUUUUGACCUCGGAUCAGGUAGGGAUACCCGCUGAACUUAAGCAUAUCAAUAAGCGGAGGA
rnacentral:misc_RNA from 1 species